UGGGAACCUCCAUAUGCCGUGGGAGCGGCCCAAGAAAUAGCAAAAAGACCAAAAAAAAAUUGAUUUAUCCAAGUAGUUCCUAUUUUGAUUUCUUAGAUGUGAGGGGCUGGAUGUGGAUAUAAUAGGUAUAAUAAGUUAUUUGUUUAACGAAGUUUUUAUUGGGCAGCUACUGCGUGCUUUCUCAGUGCUGGAAAGAGAAAGUAUAAUUUUUGUCCUCAAGGAGCAGACAUGCCCAUCGGAGAAUCACUGGCUUUUUUUUUUUUUCUUUCACAGCAUAUGGAGGUUCCCAGCUUAGGGGUCGAGUCAGAGCUGUAGCCACUGGCCUAUGACACAACCAUAGCAACAUGGGAUCCGAGCCAUGUCUGCAAACUGCACCACAGCUCACAGCAAAGCUGGAUCCCUGACCCACUGAACAAGGCCAGGGAUGGAACUUACAUCCUCAUGGUUUUAGUCAGAUUCGUUUCCACUGUGCUACGAAGGGAAUGCCCGAGAAUCACUGGCUUUUAUUCAUUCAGCAUCUUGAAGUGCCAAGCACCAUGUGAGUGACAAAUUGCCUCUUUGUAUUUAUUUGUGGACAGGGAAGUGAGUACAGAGUGGGGCCCUUAGUCCAGCCUGAGAUGUGGGGUGCAGCAAGGGUGGGGCUCCCUAGGGGCGGGGACAGAGUGGGUUUGGAGUGGAGGUGCUCUGGGAGGAAGGAAGAGGGCACAGACCCUCAGAGACCCACUGAAAACCCUUCAGAGGCCUCAGCCCCUGGAAGGGGAGGGCGGAGGAAGUCCGUUCCGGGCCAGGGGAGCUGGUGUCUCCCAUGGGAUCAGGGGCCCAGAACGUGAGUCUCUUUGGAAAAAAUUUAAGAUGUACAAGUGCAGGGCUUUCCUGAGGACAUUCUGCAGGACACAGGUGCUUGGAUGUUACUCAACUCCACAUGGUAAAGUGGUCUUGAAAGAAAGUGCAUCCAAGUGUGGGCUCAGGGCUGGGAGGCCCUUCCAGCAGGCAGGGGGCCAGGUGUUCCGAGAGAGGGUUUGGCCCUUUGGCAGCCUUUGGGGUAGUGGCCCGAUGGGUAAAAGUCGGUGUGUGUGGGAGCUGAGGGGGUGGGCCUUUGGCGUAAGCUACCCUGAGGCUCCUGGAAGGGGAGAGGAAGCAGUGAGGAGAACCCCCAACUCCUGCCUGACCUCUGGGAGCCGGGCCACAACCUUUCUCUCAGAUGUGUCCCAGGCCCCUGCCCUGUCCCCGCAGCUGCCAGGCAUCAUCCUGAGGUGUAACCGAGGGUGGGCAUCAGGUCGGUCCACUAGCCUGUAAACUGCCUUCACCUGCCACGCUCGUUUUGUUUCUCUAAAAACCUGUGUUGGGUACGUAGCAAACAAUCACUUUUGCCUGAGCUGUGCCUUCAGGAACUUGGCAUCAGCUGUGUUCUGUUCAAGCUGAGCUGAUGGAGUGUUUGGGACAACUGAGCACAGGGCAGGCUUGGGUGCCCACGGGCAGAAAGCCAAACCCAACAGUGGGGUUCGUGGCAAAGUAAGGGUGUUAUUUGCAGGGCGCCAGGCAAAGGAGUCAGUGGCAAGCGUUGGACCGACUCCCACAUGGUUUCAGACUUAGUAGGUUUAAUUUUUUUGGCCAUGUCCACAGCGUGUGGAAGUUCUCAGGCCAGGGAUCAAACCUGCACCACAGCAGUGGCAAUGCUGAAUCCUUGAUUGCUAGGGCAGCAGGGGAUUCCGACUUAGUGGUUUAUAAAGGGGCAGAACAGAGGAGCCAGGGUUAAUCCCUGAGGCUGGGGGUCUAUGUCUACAGUCUGUUAAGGCCACCCUGCCCUGGGAGAUAACUCACAACAGCUGACAUGAUAUUUACCACAAAGCCAUGGCUCAGGGCACCUGACCUUCACUAUUCCUUAUUGAUUUAGGCAAAUAUGAUCCAACAGGUGGAGCUAGGACAGAAGGGGACCAGAGAGGAACAGCCUCAGCUUCAUCCCAUAAAUCCCCCAGCCCUGGCCUUGGGUUGGCAGCUUCGCUCUGGAAUGAAGCGUUCUUCUCAUCGCAGCGUACAGCCUGAUGACGAUUCUGCCUCUGCUCUGUCCCCAGCCUUUUCUCAACUCUGCAGCCACAGCACUUGAACUAACUUGUGAAGUGCCUGCUGCGUCCUUUUUCUGGAAUCUGCACCACGAGGCUUCCUGUCACCAGCACAGCUGAGGGUGGCACACAGUAGGUGACUGUUUUCAGUUAACAGAUGUGUGGGCCUUUUGUUUUUGCUUUUUUCUGGGGUCCGCCCUUGCAACAUACGGAGGUUCCCAGGCUAGGGCUCAAAUUGGAGCUACAGCUGCCAGCCUACACCACAGCCACAGCA